rnacentral:rRNA from 1 species
AGUAACGCGUGAGGAACCUGCCUCAAAGAGGGGGACAACAGUUGGAAACGACUGCUAAUACCGCAUAAGCCCACAGCUCGGCAUCGAGCAGAGGGAAAAGGAGCAAUCCGCUUUGAGAUGGCCUCGCGUCCGAUUAGCUAGUUGGUGAGGUAAUGGCCCACCAAGGCAACGAUCGGUAGCCGGACUGAGAGGUUGAACGGCCACAUUGGGACUGAGACACGGCCCAG